rnacentral:rRNA from 1 species
AGUGAACGCUGGCGGUAGGCCUAACACAUGCAAGUCGAACGGCAGCACAGUAAGAGCUUGCUCUUACGGGUGGCGGGUGGCGGACGGGUGAGGAAUACAUCGGAAUCUACUUUUUCGUGGGGGAUAACGUAGGGAAACUUACGCUAAUACCGCAUACGACCUACGGGUGAAAGCAGGGGAUCUUCGGACCUUGCGCGAUUGAAUGAGCCGAUGUCGGAUUAGCUAGUUGGCGGGGUAAAGGCCCACCAAGGCGACGAUCCGUAGCUGGUCUGAGAGGAUGAUCAGCCACGCUGGAACUGAGACACGGUCCAGACUCCUACGGGAGGCAGCAGUGGGGAAUAUUGGACAAUGGGCGCAAGCCUGAUCCAGCCAUACCGCGUGGGUGAAGAAGGCCUUCGGGUUGUAAAGCCCUUUUGUUGGGAAAGAAAAGCAGCAGGUUAAUACCCCGCUGUUCUGACGGUACCCAAAGAAUAGGCACCGGCUAACUUCGUG